rnacentral:rRNA from 1 species
GACGAACGCUGGCGGCGUGCCUAAUACAUGCAAGUCGAGCGAUGAUUAAAGAUAGCUUGCUAUUUUUAUGAAGAGCGGCGAACGGGUGAGUAACGCGUGGGAAAUCUGCCGAGUAGCGGGGGACAACGUUUGGAAACGAACGCUAAUACCGCAUAACAAUGAGAAUCGCAUGAUUCUUAUUUAAAAGAAGCAAUUGCUUCACUACUUGAUGAUCCCGCGUUGUAGUAGCUAGUUGGUAGUGUAAAGGACUACCAAGGCGAUGAUACAUAGCCGACCGGGGAGGGUGAUAGGCCACACUGGGACUGAGACACGGCCCAGACUCCAACGGGAGGGAGCAGUAGGAAAUCUUCGGCAAUGGGGGCAAGCCUGACCGAGCAACGCCGCGUGAGUGAAGAAGGUUUUCGGAUCGUAAAACUCUGUUGUUAGAGAAGAACGUUAAGUAGAGUGGAAAAUUACUUAAGUGACGGUAUCUAACCAGAAAGGGACGGCUAACUACGUGCCAGCCGCCGCGGUAA